AUUGAACGCUGGCGGCAGGCCUAACACAUGCAAGUCGAGCGGAUGAGAAAAGCUUGCUUUUCGAUUCAGCGGCGGACGGGUGAGUAAUGCCUAGGAAUCUGCCUGUUAGUGGGGGAUAACUCGGGGAAACUCGGGCUAUUACCGCAUCCGUCCUAUGGGCGAAAGUGGGGGAUCUUCGGCCCUCAGGCUAACAGAUGAGCCUGGGUCGGAUUAGCCAGUAGGUGAGGUAAUGGCUCACCAAGGCGACGAUCCGUAACUGGUCUGAGAGGAUGAUCAGUCACACUGGAACUGAGACACGGUCCAGACUCCUACGGGAGGCAGCAGUGGGGAAUAUUGGACAAUGGGCGAAAGCCUGAUCCAGCCAUGCCGCGUGUGUGAAGAAGGUCUUCGGAUUGAAAAGCACUUUAAGUUGGGAGGAAGGGUAUUCACCUAAUACGUGGGUACUUUGACGUUACCAACAGAAUAAGCACCGGCUAACUCUGUGCCAGCCGCCGCAGUAACAC
rnacentral:rRNA from 1 species